AUGUCCAAAAACUUGCAAUCCUCCUGCCACAGUCUUCUGAGUUAGUGAGAUUAUAGGAGUGUACCACCAUGCUGGGCUCUUCAAAUGCUCAUUAAAUCCUACCUUCUUUUUCCUUUUAUUCUGGAAACCCUAUAACAAAGAUAUUAGAUCUUUUUUUAUACUCCUGCAGGUCCCUGCAGCUUGUUCAUUUUUUCUCACAGUAUAACUUUUCUCAGACUUUCAGUGUAAGAACUUUAUAUUGUUGUGUCUUCAGUUCACUCUCCCCUGUCCUCUGCAUUCUGCCAUUGAUUCCCUUAUUGAGUUUAUUUCAGUUUCAGCUAUUAUGUUUUUCAAUUCUAAAAUUGCCAUUUGAUUUUUGAUAUCUUCUCUUUUUUACUAAAGCUUUAUAUUUUAGUUUCUUUCAAGUGAGUUCUUAAUUGCCAAGUGAAGCAUUUUUAUGAUGUCUGCUUUAACUUUUUUUGACAUACACUUCUAUUUUAUGGCAUCAGUGUAGAUAUUGACUAUAUAUUUUCAUUCAUCUCAAGACCUUCCUGCAUCUUGCUAUGAGUGAUUUUUUAAUUGAAAUCAGAAUACUUUUCUAUGAUGUUAUUAGGAUCAAGAUUUUACUUAAUCUUUGCUUUAGCUGUCAUACCAUGACAUCACCACAGUAGAGGAAAGGAGAUGGAUUCCACUACAUUACUAUCUGUUGAGUAUGGUGGUUUAACCCUAACCUUCUUUGUCCUCUGUUGAUCCAUGAAAUCAGUGGUGAACUCCUUGUUACUUAUGGGUAAGGGUGAAUUUUCUCUUUCUGAGCUGGGCCUGCACUGGUAACUCCCUAGCUGGGAGGAUUACAGAUGUCUCUUUAUUGCCCAUCAUGUUUUCUACACUGACGUCUUGGGUAAUGAGGGCUUAUUACUAUGUGCUAGAGGUGAAAGGACUAGCUCCCUAUUAGGCCUCUUCUGAAACUUCAUAGGUGGGGAGGGUGUCAUUAUUUGUUAUCAGUGGUAGCACUCUAAGCACCCAAGUGCCUUUGCUGACUUGGGUGAAGGUAGGGGACAAAGGUUUUUCCUAUGACAUUUGGCUGAAAUAAAUAGUGUAUUUUCUAAAAGGUUUCCAUCAUGUUAGGCUACACCUUUACUGAUCCUUUACUUUGGUCUUUUGCCUUUCCCAUCUUGCCUUUCUUACCUUUAUUUUCCUUGCACCUGUUGAUAGUUUUUGGUCACCAACUUUUUCAGCUUCAUGUCUGGGAUAUAUGAUGCUAAAAAAGAUACCACGCUCUGGUAUUAAGUCCCAAGGUUCCAAUUUUAUCUGCUUUCUCUUCAUCUUGCACAGUCAAGCAUAGACCUUACUGGCUGAGUAUACAGUAAACAUUGGGUCUGCAAAUUUAUCAGUCUUUGAUGGAUCUGGUCUACAAAAUGGGACUGGAAUGUGUUCUGAGUCAACAGUGCUUUCCUAAGACACAAUGGUGAAAGGAACCCCUCACCUAUCCGUAAUCAAAGCAUACUUCAUGUCCACUAUAAAUGCUCAAGAUUUCUGAGCACCUAUGAUGUUUGGAGGGUUGGCCUGCUCUCUCUUCCUUCCUCCCUCUAGCUAACAGUGCUAGGAUUUUGAGAUACUCCUGAGGAACUCAGUGAGAGGUACUUUUCAGAGUACAUGAGUCCCUUGAACUGGGUGGGGACAAGUGCUGCACCUUCACAUGUUCACUCUCUAGGAGUAAAUCAAGGUAGCCUUGACUCAUGAGGCCUGGUAACUGGGUGGGAGGGAUUUCAGUGGAAUCCUGGGGUACCAGCUUAGAGGGAGUAUUGCCUCCAUCUGGUACAGGCUUCAGAGUUUGAGGUACAGGAAGCCCUUGGAGACAGGAAAGUCAGGGGUCCUAACAGAGGGACCACAGGAAUUAUCCCCUUGAAGUCUGACUGGGAUAUACACAGAAGCCUUGAAGGUAUAUCAGGCUAGUUCUCUGUGGCAUUCCCAAAUACAGGAACUAUGAUAUCACAGGUCUCUUCUGGCUACGGUUGGUUACCUGGCACCAUGUUGAGGUAGCUGCUGGGUCCAGCAUAGGUCCUGAGACAUGGAAAAUACUCAGUGAAGAUGUGGAUUACAUGACUGCAGGAACACAUUCAUCACUCUUGUGUAGGGCUUUAGUCUGGGCAGCUGUAGGUAAGGGUGAAUACGUGAGAAAGCAGAACAUAUGCCCACAAGCAACCCAACAGUCGAUCUUGAGACCAAGAGAAAGAAGUCAAGGACCUUGAAGAUUGGCUCAGAAGGUUUCUGGCAGCUGCCCUAGAGACCUAGGAUGGGAAAAGGUAGCAGAGAGCAGGCCAAGAAUUGUGCUAAAAGAGAGGCAGAACCACCUUAGGUAACUGAUAAAGUAUAUGUUCUGAUCCCUAGACUUGCUGGCUCCUGGGCAUAAACACAGUUGGUAGCUUACAUUCCUGAUGACAUUCACUAAAAGUGGGAAGUAGGCACCCCCAAACUGCCAUCCAUUUGCCUGGGAGGUUUGUCCCUGCAAGUUUACAAGCAGCACUAUUCACAAAGAAAUUCCUGAGAUGUGCAUGCCCCACCCAUACCUUCACAGACAAGGACCUCACAGGGCAGAGAGUCAGUCCAGAGCUGAACUCACACCCAGCACUGCCACCUCCCCACCCAAUGUGCCCUUCCCACCACCCGAGGAGCCAGAGGAGGCCCCAGAGCACCACCUCCAGCCUCUGAAAGGGAGCCAGACUCUUUCUACCCUCUUUUCACUUUGACUGAGAACUGAAGCCAAGCUGACAAGUGGUUUUUCUAGAAAGGCAGCAGUGUAAGCAUCCAGGCAGAAAAGGUGUCUGCAGAGACAGCCUCAUGCCCAGCAGGGGAUUCCCACACUCAGCACAGAACAAGAGAACUCAGACUUUGGGCAUGGAGCAGUACCAGGGUGAAAGACUUUUCCAACCGACAUGGUCAGGUAGCCAUUCUCCUUGAAGUACUGGGGGAUGGUGGAGAAGUUUCCUGCAUGCACCCUCCAGUAGGAGUUGAAGUCAUACAGGCGCGUGGUGUCAGGCCUCCUCCCAGUGAGGAAGGACACGCAGCUCGGGGCGCACACUGCUUGCUGUUAGGGAGCAGAAGCAGAGGUCAACAUCAUCACAGUAUAAUGUGUCUGCCAUCUCCAGGGUAACCAAGCAACCUCCCCAGGUCCUCAGCAACAGCCUGGUGGCUGAGUCAUGCAGAUCUCAAAGCCACACAGUGAGAUUUGGGCCUCACCCAGGUGCCAGAGAUUGCAUCCUCCUGGCAAGACAAGGCAGAAGUCAGCCCCUCAAACAAGCAGAUGCUUGUAUCUUCCAAUGAGACAGUGUCCCCAGUCACCCCAAGGGAGCAAUAUGCUUGGAGGCAGCUCCAAGAAGGGGCUCGUGGAGGAGGGCUACCAUGCAUGGCUAGUUGGCUGGCCCUUGCCCAUGGGAAGCAUUCUAUAGUACCAAGCCAUCGCCCCUACCAGGAGAGAGCUGGCCAAGGCCCUGAGCAUGUUAGGGCCAGGAUACCCUCCACCCAAUGAAGUGAGGCGGCCUUGAAGGCACAAGAUUCCUUAAGUGGAUAAUCACAUUUCUUGGACCACAAUUUUCCAGAAUAUGCUUCCCUCUUUCAGGCAGGUAUCUGGCACACUCAGUACCACCAAACAGUAGCUGAAGGGACCCCAACCCUCAGUGCACAAGGAGGCACACCUCCAUAACUAGAAGUCCCCAGACUUACCUGGGCAAAGGCAUUCUGGAAAAGGGGUGUGGCUGAUUUAUAUUUCAUCAUCUCAAUUGUUUCCUUUUACAAUUUGACAUGGUAUGACAGGAUUUAAUCUAGAAAAUUACAGACAACAUGGUAAGGGGAGUAGAUUUGGGAAAACAGUGGAGUUGUUAAAUAGUUGAAGGAGAAAUUUCAAUCAGUCCCACGGGGAAUUCUGCAAUAUAGUCCCCUCCAUCUCAGCCAGCUACUCAGAUCUUCAUCCCUGAAGGUUCUGAGCCCCUUGACCCCUGUUCCCAGGUUAUGGAACAUACCCUUAUCAAUUUAUUAUGGAAAUCAGGGGAUCACCAAGACACAUUUGAGUGGAUCACCUGGUUACCAAACCUAUCCCUCUAUUCCUAUUAUGUGAGAACAUACCUGCCUCCUCCUGAUGACCAGGGCCCAUGACUCCUGAUAGGAUGGAUGACUCUUUCUCAUGCUUGUGGGGUCCAUAAUAUGAAGAACCCAAGGUGCCCAUGACUUGUAAUUCACUUGUCAGCCAUGCUUGGUAGUUAAUGGAACUCUUACUGUGACUCCUGGUGUAAUCAUUCCCAUUUGGGAAACCAGAGUGCCUAGCCCACACUGUUCAAUAAGGACCACUAGACCCAUGUGGCUACUGAGUAUUUGAAAUGUGGCUAUUGUAACUGAGGAACUUAAUAUGUAGUUGUAUUUUAUCGUGAUUUAAAUAGUCAAAUGUGGCUAGUGGUUACCAUAUUGGACAGUGCUGGUCUAACUACAGAACCCAAAGUUGUGGGGGCAGGCAUCACAAAUUCCUGAUCAUGGGAAGAGAUAGUAAGUGGGGUUACCACAGCUCUUGACUCCCUGAUACCAGACCCAAAUAGGCCUUCAUGGCCUUGUGCUUUGUUCUUAGUAGUGGGAGGUGUGACAUGUCAUCAUUUGUCCCUUAUUUCUAGAGAACGUGUGGCAUGCUCCUGACUACCAUAUCACUGAACACUAAUUUAAUAUGGCAGACUCCUGAGUCUUUUCAAGAUUGAUCUACCAUGUGAAGUGUCCAUAUCUAUCUAAGGCUGCUAACAUCCCUGCCACAUCUUGCUCACCCAGUUGUUAAUAUGAUUUCAUUGAUAAAGUGACAUUUGGAAGCUGUGUGGGAUGAUGCUUGUGGUGACUAAUCACUUCACAUGUGGUGCUUGAGCUGAAUCUGGAAGUGUCUGCCAUUGCUUAUGUGUUCUAGGAAUGUUAGUUUUAAUGUACAGACUUUUUGCUAGAUUUCCCAAGAUUGGGAAAGUAUUCUCAGAGCUGGUGGGUGUUGGAAGUAUUCUACCUUAAGUACAGAAAUCCACAAGUACUCAAUUCCUUCUCUAGGUGGACCCACACCCUGAGGGACCUAACUACGUCUUGAUAAACAUGCUGGGAGGCUGUCUCUGAGGAAAAAGGGAGACAAUAUAUGACUUUCUUGGUAUAUAACUAUAGUAUCCCUGGAAACAAAAUCACUAGAUUUUUUUCUUACCUUCUACUUUUGAUAUUUGACUGUUAUUGAGUCUAGUUUGGGGAAAAUAGAAGUGACAUGUAUGUUGGGACCUGUCUUGUACCCUGCUAGACUCAGGGACAAACUGAAUCAAACUGGGUUAUAUUUGCUGGAGCACGGUGAGCAAAGCUAGAGAGUAGGCAGUGAGGGUGAGUACAUGUGAAUUGACAGGUGGAGGCUCAGCCAAUGCCUAUAUUAACAGUAUUUGUGGAAAAAAAAAUAAGCAAAUAGAAUGGGUAGGGAAGGAUCAAUUAAAGUCUUCCACAGAAAUAAGAGAGCUUAAAGGGAAAGUUUUUCCUGGGUACUCAGAUGCUAGAGGUGAAAGAAGCAAAAAGAUAUAUCUUCUCAAGCAAAAGAUGAGAACAACUUAAUUCUAAUUCUGAGGAGUUUCAGGAACAGGAGUCUAGCUGAGAGAGUGGGGAGACAAGUGGUGACCAGGGGACAGAUGGAAGGUCUACAGUGCUGAGAAACAGUCUAUAGCCUAGACUUCAGUUUCUGACUCAGGAGAACCUCCAAGAAUGCUAGGGAUUGCAGGGAGGACCAGAAAUGCUAAGAACUGCAUUUUUAAUAGGGUCCUUGUCCUCAGGACAGGCCUGGGAAAAGGCAAAUAGGAAUCAGAAAGAGAAAAGGGAAUGAGCUGCAGGGAAUAUGCACCCUUAUAGGGCACGCCAUCAAUGACCCACCUCCUGCAGGCAUGCCCCAUCUGCCUACAGCAUUUUUUACUUGUGGCUGUAAAAAUUGUCUCCUGUUAUUGAACCUUCCUGGGAAUUGGUUGACAUGGGGUCUCAGCCCAGCCCUUCCAUUGACAGCCUGGGAGACAUUGACUCCACAUCUUGGAGAGUGUGGCUACGUGUGCAACUCUGUGCAUGAGUAGAAGUGGGAUAUCUGGAGCCUAUCUUCCAGACUUCUUUGAGGAAGGCCUUAAGAAGUAAGGAGUGGCAUGGAGAUCCUGGCCUGAGCCUUGAAGACUACAGACUGAAAUGGGCAGUGAAAAGCCUCCAGCCUGAAAAGAAGAAAAAGGCGCUUUGGGCCCUUAGGGCCUCCAUCACAAAGGUCCUCUAGGGUAUGUCCUGUUGAGAGCCGAAGCGGAAGCGGGCCCCAGCAAACUUCCAGCUGAUUGGCUCCUCUGCGGUAGUGCUCAUUGGGCUGUUUCCCUGCCCUUUCAGACCACGGAGCUGCUCAUUUGGGGGACUCUUUUGGCUCCGCCCACACGACCCAGCCAAUCUGCCUCAAGAGCAGGACCUAAGGGUUCCAGUUGAGGUGCUCAAAUUCCCCAAAGAGCCCGUGGUGGCAGUUGGGCUCUUGGGGAAUUCCUGGAGAGCUCACGUGGUGUGGCAUGUGUUCAAAAAAUAAAGUUCGUUCCUGCUUGA